GAAACUCUUGUUCAAUGGCGGCUGCAACAACUUCUUACCUGAGUAACUUGGAGCAUGGCUUUAGUUCCAAGCCCCGAUUUCGCCGCCCCUUAAUUCCCUCCAAUACCGCUCCGCGAAUAUUGGCCAUGGCUCCUAAAAAGAAGGUGAACAAGUUUGAUGACAAUUGGAAAAAGCAAUGGUUUGGAGCGGGACUAUUCUACGAGGGCAGCGAACAAGUGGAAGUUGAUGUGUUCAAAAAAUUGGAGAAGCGAAAAGUUUUGAGCACUGUGGAGAAAGCUGGCCUUCUAUCAAAGGCCGAAGAACUAGGAUUUACACUCUCAUCCAUAGAAAAGUUUUGAGCACUGUGGAGAAAGCUGGCCUUCUAUCAAAGGCCGAAGAACUAGGAUUUACACUCUCAUCCAUAGAAAAAUUAGGGCUAUUUUCAAAGGCCGAAGAACUCGGGCUGCUCAGUUUGCUGGAGAAGUCAGCUAGUUUCUCUCCUGCUGCUUUGGCAUCGGCAGCUCUUCCAAUUCUAGUGGCAGCUAUUUUAACAAUCGUUUUCAUCCCCGAUGAUACCGUGGGUCUUGUGGCGGCCCAGGCUGUUUUGGCUGGAGCCCUCGGGUUGACUGCAGUCGGGUUGUUUGUUGGGUCAGUGGUUUUGGAUGGGUUGCAGGAGGCUGAUUGAUUGACCAUCGGUUUCAUCCAACCUCACCUGAAAAAUAUGUAAUAAAGGGAUAGUUUUGUAGUUGUCAGUGAGAUUUAUAUGGUCAAUCUCAAUUUAUUAGUGUAAUUAUUGUUGUUGUACACACUCAACAAUUCCUAAUCUUUAUGGUCAUGAAUUCAUUUUAUGUAUGUGAAGCAG
rnacentral:misc_RNA from 1 species